CAGCUACUUGGGAGGCUGAGGCAGGAGAAUCGCUUGAAUCCGGGAGGUGGAGGUUGCAGUGAGCUGAGAUUGCACCACUGCACUCCAGCCUGGGUGACAGAGCGAGACUCUGUCUCAAUAAAAAAAAAAAAAGGUGAGUUGGGGGGUGGCGGGGGCAGGAAGCAAGUGAGCGGAGAGGCAAAAACACAUUAGAGAAGUCAAGGAAAUGUACUCAAAGACACAGAGGAGAGGUUUCAGAUUAGAAGAGUAUUAAAUGCAUGCAGUGUACUAGUCAGCUGGGAGAGCUCAGUGGAGAACACAAGUGUCUUUCUCAGCUCGGGCUGCCCUACGGAAAUACUACAGACUGGGUGGCUUAAACAGAAAUUUCUUUCUCACAGUUCUGGAAGCUGCAAGUCCAAGAUCAAGAUGCCAGCAGGGAGAGAAAACACUGUUUCUGCCCGCUCUGUGACCUUCUCCCCUCCACGUCUGUGUUACCAUCCGUUGGCAGCAUCUCUCAGGACGAAGAGCAGCAUCAGAGGGGAGUGAGAGGAAAGCAGGUCCCAUCUUACUUGCAGCGCUGGUCACACGCACAGACAGGGUUGAAAAGUUUCACACAGACAGAUUUAAUCGUAAUUGUAUCCUUCAAGGCCCUACCUUCAAAAUCAGUCACACUGAGAGUUAAGGCUUGUGAAAGGAAAAGAGCUCCCUAUAUCCUCUUGGGUUGCCAUGGUGAGCAACCUCUCAGGUCCCAGGCUCAGAGCAGGUGGCAGGAGGAGGCUGCAGGCUUGAGUACCAUUCAAGAUGUCCAUUAGAAGCACAAACAGCCAGGCGCAGUGGCUCACACCUGUAAUCCCAGCACUUUGGGAGGCCAAGGCGGGCAAAUCACGAGGUCAGGAGUUCGAAACCAGCCUGGCCAACAUGGUGAAACCUCUCUCUACUAAAAACACAAAAAAUUAGCUGGGCGUAGUGGCGGGUGCCUGUAAUCCCAGCUACUCAAGAGGCUGAGACAGGAUAAUCGCUCGAACCUGGGAGACAGGGGUUGCAGUAAGCCAAGAUCACACCACUGCACUCCAGCCCGGGCAACAGAGUGAGACUCUGUCUCAAAAAAAAAAAAAGAAAGAAAAGAAGCACAAACAACCCCAGCCUUCCCUCUCUCCAUAAUGGACUGAAUCUCAGCCUGCCACACUAAUAGGUGCUUGGCCACAAAGAAACCUGCAACAGCAAUGUCUUACUCCUCAUUAUGUGGAUUUCAACAAUGGAUACAGUGCUUUCAUUGUGAUCUCCAUAUGCAGAAUUGCAAAGCCUCUCUCAGCCAGGCACAAGUAGCCUAGGCUUUGGGAAACCCUCACAAAUAAUUUUUCAAGGACAAUAAACCACAAACAAUCAAAGACA
rnacentral:lncRNA from 1 species